rnacentral:rRNA from 1 species
UACGGAGGGUGCGAGCGUUGUCCGGAUUCAUUGGGCGUAAAGGGUGCGUAGGCGGCGCGGUAAGUCGAGUGUGAAAGCCCCGGGCUUAACUUGGGAAUUGCGCUCGAAACUACUUUGCUGGAGUGUGGCAGAGGAAGGUGGAAUUCCACGUGUAGCGGUGAAAUGCGUAGAGAUGUGGAGGAACACCAAUGGCGAAGGCAGCCUUCUGGGCCAACACUGACGCUCAUGCACGAAAGCGUGGGGAGCAAACAGG